UUUCCGUAGGUGAACCUGCGGAAGGAUCAUUAUUGUAUAUUCGAGGAGCGUGGUCUGGCGCUGACCCGAAAGGUCGUGCACGCCCGAGUGCCCUCAAACACAUCCAUCUCACCCGUAUGUGCAUGACCGCGUGGGUCCCCCCGUUGCCUGUCCGGAGGGGCGUUUACGUUUUCACUCAAACUUUGUAUGCAGUGUAGAAUGUAUUUUUUGUUUGUGGGAUCACGCAAUCAAUACAACUUUCAACAACGGAUCUCUUGGCUCUC
rnacentral:misc_RNA from 1 species